CCUACGGGAGGCAGCAGUGGGGAAUAUUGGUCAAUGGGCGCGAGCCUGACCCAGCCAAGUAGCGUGAAGGAUGACUGCCCUACGGGUUGUAAACUUCGUUUAUAAAGGAAUAAGGUGAGGCACGUGUGCCUUUUUGUAUGUACUUUAUGAAUAAGGAUCGGAUAACUCCGUUCCAGCAGCCGCGGUAAUACGGAGGAUCCGAUCGUUAGCCGGAUUUAUUGGGUUUAAAGGGAACGUAGAUGGGUUGUUAAGUCAGUUGUGAAAGUUUGCGGCUCAACCGUAAAAUUGCAAUUGAUACUGGCAGCCUUGAGUACAGUUGAGGUAGGCGGAAUUCGUGGUGUAGCGGUGAAAUGCUUAGAUAUCACGAAGAACUCCGAUUGCGAAGGCAGCUUACUAAACUGCCACUGACAUUGAUGCUCGAAAGUGUGGGUAUCAAACAGGAUUAGAUACCCCAGUAGUC
rnacentral:rRNA from 1 species